GACGAACGCUGGCGGCGUGCUUAACACAUGCAAGUCGAACGGUAAGGCUCCAGCUUGCUGGGGUACACGAGUGGCGAACGGGUGAGUAACACGUGGGUGACCUGCCCUGCACUUCGGGAUAAGCCUGGGAAACUGGGUCUAAUACCGGAUAGGACCAUGGUGUGGAUACUGUGGUGGAAAGUUUUUUCGGUGUGGGAUGGGCCCGCGGCCUAUCAGCUUGUUGGUGGGGUAAUGGCCUACCAAGGCGGCGACGGGUAGCCGGCCUGAGAGGGUGGACGGCCACAUUGGGACUGAGACACGGCCCAGACUCCUACGGGAGGCAGCAGUGGGGAAUAUUGCACAAUGGGCGGAAGCCUGAUGCAGCGACGCCGCGUGGGGGAUGACGGCCUUCGGGUUGUAAACUCCUUUCACCAGCGAAGAAGGGUUUCUGACGGUAGAUGGAGAAGAAGCACCGGCUAACUACGUG
rnacentral:rRNA from 1 species